AAAAAAAAACAAAAUGUGUGCAAUUCACACGUGGUAGAAGUGAAACCUUCCAAAAUUAAAAUACAAUUAUCCUAAACGUCUUAAGUAUAUGUAAAAUUUUGUCAUUAGUAAAUAAUUGUAAGGUAGCGCCCUCUGUGAAUUGAUAUUUUAAUUUCACGUAUAAUCCUAAAUUAAAAUUCACUACAAGAGCUUUCAUACACACGUUAGUAUUAAAAAAUCUCACAGAUGGCGCUGUAUUAAAAAUAGUAUGUAUAUUUCUGUCUCAUUCUUUGCUGGCUUCAUCCUACACAUUUUUAUAUUUGUGUCUCUUACCUGUCUUUUUUUCCGUUGCAUCCGGUUUGAAAUCACAACGAUUCUAAAAAAGUUUUCACUUCAAUAAAAAAUUACAAUAAAAAUUGCGUUUUUUUUUUUAAACGCGUCAUAGUAGUUACUGACAUUUCAUGACAGUUUUACUAUUGAUUUAACAAAAUACACACACAAGAUAUCGACCAUAUUCGUUGCUUAAUGAAGACUUAUUAAGUGAUUCAAAUCCUAUGUUUUAAAUUGGGAAUUCAACUGUAUUCGUGAGACUAAUAGAUAAGUAGCCCAGUCCAAACAACCAAUAAAAUAAACUAGACGAACAAUUUUAUUAAAAUAAAUAAAAAUGUUCACAUAAUAAUAUGUAGAACUGAAAUUAUUCAUCCAAUUCUGACUGUACUCAUACUAUAAAAUAGAUAUCAUGUAAACAAAUAAAUCAUAUAAAAUAAAUUAUGAACAGACAGAA